CCGAAUACUUAACUAGACGUUAACUAGGUCGACAAUCCUUUCGUGAAAACUAAAAUUGUCAUCUACGUUUUCCUACGGGAAAAAAGAGAGAUUGAUUUCGCACAAACCGAUCAUUCUUCUCUGCCUCCGAGUGAAAAACUAAAAGAGCUGGAGAAGAAAAUUAUUCAUCACCUCCGAAUCAACACGAUCAAUCCAUAAUCAGUGCCCACAGUAACCCAACCUUUCCAAUGGAUGAAUGCAUAAAAGAGAGAUUGAUUUCUUCAAAGAUUAGGGUCUGUUGUUCGCAUUAAGAUAAUAAGAUCUGUUGUUCAGAUUAGUGAUAAUACAUACCAGGUGUUUGUCAAAAUGCCUGAGUGAGUAGUUCUGCAUGCACAACUUAAAGUUCAGCUGUACCGGUUGAUUGCUCCAAGUUUCCACGGAUGCUGAUGAGUCCCACAAAGUGUCAGGGAAGGAACAACACACAGGUGCUGUAAGAGUUUGGGUUAGGAGCUGUUUCAGUGGUGCAGAGAUGUCAAGGCAAGUAUUGCAAGAACCUUGGCCAGUACUUUGGAUUUGGGUUUGAAAAACAUGAACCACCACGCAAAUGCCAGAUCCUUACGGCACAGAGGUUGGAAAUUCUGCAGAAAUCCCAGAUUGGUAUGAAGAGAGAUGGUUAUUAACGUUCACGGCUACACGCUAUUAUACACGAGGCAUGGAAGAUCAAUUUGGAUGAGUAUGGUACACCGUUUAGGCUGGGUUACACCGGAGGCUUGAAGUGUUGCUACGACGAGAUCCAAUGCAGGGUAAGAGGAGGCUUCAAAAGUAUCAAAAGAGGCGCCUAUCUUAGAUAUACAGAUUACAGUGAAGUGGGUAGACUGGGAAGAAACUAUUGUGCCUGUCAAAAUCUGCGUUUUUGAUGUCACCUAUACUGCGAAAAAAGGGAAUGGUUCGGAUAACCUAUAAGGGGCUCCAUGACCAGCACAUUUUGGUUAUGUAGUGUGGCCAGUGUGGGUUCUAAUUUGCAAUUGUGAAAAAAGAUGGAAUAUGACGUCAAGGCAUGUGAUAGGAAUAGUGCAGGUAUAGUAAUAUUUUUGUAGUUAGCAAAAAAAACAAGUUUGGUUCUUCCCAAUGGAGGUUAUGUUAUCCCUCGCCUUGAUCAGCACUCUGCUGGGAUCAGUUCAGCGCUUUAUAAAGAGUUUAAGUCUUACUUUAUAAAGGGUCUUUCAGCAAAUCAUUUGCAGAUAAUCUAACGUUGUAGACUGCGAUGCAUUUUGUAGGUGCAAGUAGCCAGCCAUGUUUGUAUUUUGUAGGCUGCUAGAAUCAUUCGAUUUUUGGUAUCUUCGAGCACCCUAUGAUAUUACCAUGUAUGAAAAUAUGCAUUAAUGCUUUAAAACUCUGACGUAAAAGAUGCAUUCCUCAAGUUUAUGCUGGCAAAAUAUAUUAUGUUUAUGAUCUUACACUUGAAUAGAAGAUUGAAUUAGUAAUGAAUUAGCAAACUUUUAAACUUCUUGGGUGGAAUCCGUUGGUUUUCUUAAUUUGAUGAUUAUUGAAAAGAAAAAUUUAUCGUCUCAGAAGCAGCACGGUAUGGUGGGGUGUUAUAUUCAGCUACUGCUUUGGUUUUCAGUUUCUGGACAUAUUUAUGUCAAGAUGUAUGUUUUAUAGUAAUUGUCACAUUGCUAUGAAGGAUACUCUUAUACCAGCAGUUGUCAUAACUAAAAGACUCCAUAGCUAAGUUCAAGUACGUUUACAUGGAACAGUUUGACAAGGACGGUGAUGAUCUUAUUGAGAGUGAUGGAAAACUUGCGAUGCUAGGACAGUUCAUGGCAUUAGUGCUUAUUGUGGAUGCUUAUGGCUUGUUGCUCUCGAAGUUACUGCUUCAAUGGGGAAAGAGAGAAGAAAUUGUAAACCUCCAUGAAGUAACCGAGGACCCCAGGUAUCAAUCAAUACAUCUCCAGUAGAAAAUCUUCUAUUUCUUGCGGGGAAUAAACUUUUUAAGAUUUAACCAAUCCGAAAUUGAUUAGGACCUGGAAAAGAGAAGAAAAAAAAUAUAGCAUAUUUAUACAAUUGGCAGGCCAGUGCUACUCCAAUUUUCCUUGGACGACUUCGAACCGCUGGGAAGUUCCCAUGCAUCAACAACAAGUCCCAUAAAUGAUAUUGUUGUUCCAACUGGGUAGAGGAGCAGCCUUACUUUGCCAGUAUUAUAACCACGGCCAAACCUGCCACUGGGGGUGAGGAAGCUGACAAGGAAAAUGGGGUGGGAAAAAAAGGGAAGAACCGAAGUCGACUCCUUUCGUCAAAUGAAGGUGGUCUUGCUAUUAAAGACUUUGCUGAAGGUCUCACCAUGUCCGUCACUUUAGCGUCUUUGUUUUAUUAAGAGCUCAUCUUUUUGCUUGAAAGAUUGUAUGUAAAUUUGAAACUAAAAUCAUCCUUUAUGGGAGAAAAUUUGAUGUAUUCUUAA